AUUGAACGCUGGCGGCAUGCUUUACACAUGCAAGUCGAACGGCAGCGCGGGCUUCGGCCUGGCGGCGAGUGGCGAACGGGUGAGUAAUGCAUCGGAACGUGCCCAGUAGUGGGGGAUAGCCCGGCGAAAGCCGGAUUAAUACCGCAUACGACCUGAGGGUGAAAGCGGGGGACCGAAAGGCCUCGCGCUAUUGGAGCGACCGAUGUCGGAUUAGCUAGUUGGUGGGGUAAAGGCUUACCAAGGCGACGAUCCGUAGCUGGUCUGAGAGGACGACCAGCCACACUGGGACUGAGACACGGCCCAGACUCCUACGGGAGGCAGCAGUGGGGAAUUUUGGACAAUGGGGGCAACCCUGAUCCAGCCAUGCCGCGUGCGGGAAGAAGGCCUUCGGGUUGUAAACCGCUUUUGUUCGGGAAGAAAUCCUCUGGGCUAAUACCCCGGGGGGAUGACGGUACCGGAAGAAUAAGCACCGGCUAACUACGUG
rnacentral:rRNA from 1 species